UACAGGGGGUGCAAACGUUGCUCGGAAUCAUUGGGCGUAAAGGGCGCGUAGGCGGCUCGGCACGUCCGUUGUGAAAUCGCCCGGCUCAACUGGGCGGGGUCGGCGGAUACGGCCGAGCUGGAGCAAGCUAGGGGGUAAUGGAAUUCCCGGUGUAGUGGUGGAAUGCGUAGAUAUCGGGAGGAACACCAGUGGCGAAGGCGGUUACCUGGAGCUUUGCUGACGCUGAUGCGCGAAAGCGUGGGGAGCGAUCCGG
rnacentral:rRNA from 1 species